rnacentral:rRNA from 1 species
UGAAUACGAGAUGCUACGGCAUUGAAGCAGUGUAUGUCAGACUUCCAAGAAAAGCUCGCAAUGUCAUAAACAAUAAAUGCCUGUACCAUAACCGACACAGGUGGGUAGGUAGAGUAUACUAAGGGGCGCGAGAUAACUCUCUCUAAGGAACUCGGCAAAAUGACUCCGUAACUUCGGGAGAAGGAGUGCCUUAUUUUAUAAGGUUGCAAUAACAAGAUCCAAGCAACUGUUUACCAAAAACACAGGUCUCCGCUAAGUCGAAAGACGAUGUAUGGGGGCUGACGCCUGCCCAGUGCCAGAAGGUUAAAGAAGUUGGUUAGCUUCGGCGAAGCCGAUGACUGAAGCCCUGGUGAACGGCGGCCGUAACAAUAACGGUCCUAAGGUAGCGAAAUUCCUUGUCGGGUAAGUUCCGACCCGCACGAAAGGCGUAAUGAUUUGGAUACUGUCUCGGAGAGGGGCUCGGUGAAAUAGACUUGUCUGUGAAGAUGCGGACUACCUGCACCUGGACAGAAAGACCCUAUGAAGCUUUACUGUAACUUGAGAUUGAAAUUGGACUUUAUUUGCGCAGUAUAGGUGGGAGACGUUGAGAAUAUUCUUGCGGGAAUAUUGGAGUCAUCAGUGAGAUACCACUCUUGUAAUGUUAGAUUUCUAACUUUGUAUCAUUAUCUGGUCAAAGGACAGUUUCAGGCGGGCAGUUUGACUGGGGCGGUCGCCUCCUAAACGGUAACGGAGGCGCACAAAGGUUUCCUCUGAACGUGUAGAAAUCGUAUCUAGAGUGUAAAGGCAUAAGGAAGCUUGACUGUGAGACCUACAAGUCGAGCAGGGACGAAAGUCGGUCUUAGUGAUCUGACGGUGCUGAGUGGAAAGGCCGUCACUCAACGGAUAAAAGUUACUCUAAGGAUAACAGGCUGAUCUCCCCCAAGAGUUCACAUCGACGGGGAGGUUUGGCACCUCGAUGUCGGCUCAUCGCAUCCUGGGGCGGUAGUACGUCCCAAGGGUUGGGCUGUUCGCCCAUGAAAGCGGUACGCGAGCUGGGUUCAGAACGUCGUGAGACAGUUCGGUCCAUAUCCGGUGUAGGCGUUAGAAUAUUGAGAGGAGCCUUCUUUAGUACGAGAGGACCGAGAAGGACAUACCUCUGGUGUACCAGUUAUCGUGCCAACGGUAAACGCUGGGUAGCUAUGUAUGGAGUGGAUAACCGCUGAAAGCAUCUAAGUGGGAAGCCCACCUCAAGAUAAG